GACGAACGCUGGCGGCGUGCUUAACACAUGCAAGUCGAACGAUGAUGCUGGAGCUUGCUCCAGUUGAUUAGUGGCGAACGGGUGAGUAACACGUGAGCAAUCUGCCCUUGACUCUGGGAUAACUGCGGGAAACUGUAGCUAAUACCGGAUACUUUCACCGGAAGGCAUCUUCUGGUGAUGAAAGAAUUUCGGUCAGGGAUGAGCUCGCGGCCUAUCAGCUUGUUGGUGAGGUAACGGCUCACCAAGGCGACGACGGGUAACCGGCCUGAGAGGGUGACCGGUCACACUGGGACUGAGACACGGCCCAGACUCCUACGGGAGGCAGCAGUGGGGAAUAUUGCACAAUGGGCGCAAGCCUGAUGCAGCAACGCCGCGUGAGGGAUGAAGGCCUUCGGGUUGUAAACCUCUUUUAGUAGGGAAGAAGCGAAAGUGACGGUACCUGCAGAAAAAGCACCGGCUAACUACGUGCCAGCCGCCGCCGUAA
rnacentral:rRNA from 1 species